rnacentral:rRNA from 1 species
AGUGGCGGACGGGUGAGUAACGCGUGAGAAUCUGCCUUGGGGUCGGGGACAACCACUGGAAACGGUGGCUAAUACCGGAUAAGCCGAUUGGUGAAAGAUUUAUUGCCCGAAGAGGAGCUCGCGUCUGAUUAGCUAGUUGGUGAGGUAAGAGCUCACCAAGGCAGCGAUCAGUAGCUGGUCUGAGAGGACGAUCAGCCACACUGGGACUGAGACACGGCCCAGACUCCUACGGGAGGCAGCAGUGGGGAAUUUUCCGCAAUGGGCGAAAGCCUGACGGAUCAAGACCGCGUGAGGGAGGAAGGCUCUUGGGUUGUAAACCUCUUUUCUCAGGGAAGAAGCUCUGACGGUACCUGAGGAAUCAGCCUCGGCUAACUCCGUGCCAGCAGCCGCGGUAAUACGGAGGAGGCAAGCGUUAUCCGGAAUUAUUGGGCGUAAAGCGUCCGCAGGUGGCGAUUCAAGUCUGCUGUCAAAGCACGGGGCUUAACUCCGUAAAGGCAGUGGAAACUGAAUAGCUAGAGUGCCGUAGGGGUAGAGGGAAUUCCCGGUGUAGCGGUGAAAUGCGUAGAGAUCGGGAAGAACAUCGGUGGCGAAAGCGCUCUACUGGACGGCAACUGACACUCAGGGACGAAAGCUAGGGGAGCGAAUGGGAUUAGAUACCCC